CUUUUUUAUCGACUUUUUAAUGAAAUAAUAUUUCACACAUGUGAAAUGGAACAUUAUACCACCAGAAACAAGAGAGCCACAGAACCAAGAACACCAGCAUAACCAAAAGAACCCGAAAAACCAAGAGAAACAAAAUAACCAAAAGAAGCACAAGAACCACGAUAACCAGUAUAAAACAAUAAAAAACAGAUUAACCAAGAGAACUAGAAAGAUCAAGGGAAACACACAAGAACAAAGAGAAUCAGAGGACUAAUAGAACCACAAGAACCAAUUGGGUUAGCAACGUGUAUGUUUUGCUGACCCUAGCUAAUAAUCCUCAAACUGAGGGGUUUGCUGUACUGGAAGAUAAAUAGAACCAGAGGACCACGAGAAUCAAAAGAACCACGAGAACCAGAGGACUAAGAGAAUAACAAGAACCAAAAGAACGAAAUGAAGAGAACCAGAGGGAACAAGAGAACCAAGAGAACCAGUGGAUCCAGAGAACCAAGAGAACCAAGAGAACCACGACAACCAAGAGGACCACAAGAACCAGAGAACCACGAAAACAACAAGAAAUAAGAGAACGAUGAACCAGAAGAACUAGCAAGCCAAGAGACCCAGAAGAACGAAGAGGAGCAGAAAUUCAAGAUGCUGAAGAAAUGCAGAACCAUAGGGACGAAAAAACCAAGAGAACCAAAAUAUGUUGCAAGAGCUAUCAGCAAAUGUUGCAAGUCUUUGUUAUUUACUGUAUUGCACGAAAUUAUAUUGAAGAAUGUUUGCAGUACUGUGAAUGAAUUCCAUUUCACAAAGACAAAUACAUCAUCACAUAAUACCCUUGCACUUAGACAUUUUGUUACAUCUGUAUGAUAAUGCAUUAUGCUUUAUUAAAUAUGUGAAAAUUCUCAAGAACCAAAAAUAGAAACGACAAUCUUCGAAGAGUUAUUUUUCAUAAAAAUAUCACUUCAUACAAUU